CCGGCGCACGGGUGAGUAACACGUAUCCAACCUGCCGUCUACUCUUGGACAGCCUUCUGAAAGGAAGAUUAAUACAAGAUGGCAUCAUGAGUCCGCAUGUUCACAUGAUUAAAGGUAUUCCGGUAGACGAUGGGGAUGCGUUCCAUUAGAUAGUAGGCGGGGUAACGGCCCACCUAGUCUUCGAUGGAUAGGGGUUCUGAGAGGAAGGCCCCCCACAUUGGAACUGAGACACGGUCCAAACUCCUACGGGAGGCAGCAUG
rnacentral:rRNA from 1 species